rnacentral:rRNA from 1 species
AGAGCGAACGCUGGCGGCAUGCUUAACACAUGCAAGUCGCACGGGCGGGGGCAACCCUGUCAGUGGCGGACGGGUGAGUAACGCGUAGGUAUCUAUCCUUGGGUGGGGGACAACUGUGGGAAACUACAGCUAAUACCGCAUGAUGACCGAGGUCCAAAGCUCGCGAGAGCGCCUGGGGAGGAGCCUGCGUACGAUUAGCUAGUUGGUGGGGUAAAGGCCUACCAAGGCGACGAUCGUUAGCUGGUCUGAGAGGAUGAUCAGCCACAUUGGGACUGAGACACGGCCCAAACUCCUACGGGAGGCAGCAGUGGGGAAUAUUGGACAAUGGGCGAAAGCCUGAUCCAGCAAUGCCGCGUGUGUGAAGAAGGUCUUCGGAUUGUAAAGCACUUUCGACGGGGACGAUGAUGACGGUACCCGUAGAAGAAGCCCGGCUAACUUCGUGCCAGCAGCCGC